rnacentral:tRNA from 1 species
UGUCAUAGCUCAGUGGCAGAGCAAUCGACUGCAGAUCGAUAGGUCGGCGGUUCAACUCCGUCUGAC